GGGAGGUUACGGCGGGGAGCCGGGACAAACCAUUCCUUGCGAGGGGACACCGCCGGCGGCCGGGCGGCCGGGCGGGGCGGGGAGCGCGGACCCUCCCACACAGAAAGCAACAUAGAAAACAAGAAAAAAACCUGCUGCCAGAAAAUAUGUUUAUUUUUUCCAUAUAUCACAAAUUAAAACAACCUAUAAGAACAUGAAGCAUUCAAAAAGAAAUGUGCAAAACAAGUCUGUGGAAAAAAAUCUAUGUCUGCUCAUAUAGGGGUUGUCCAGGCAACCAGAUAAAACAGAGAUUUAAAGGGGCCUGUCCUGUCUGUGCUGUGGGCUCCAAACUCACGUCAAGGAAAGGAGCCCUGCCUGUGGGGAAACCCAGCCUGGGGCAGGAGAAUCCUCCAAAUGUUGGCCAAUCCUUUCCUACAACUGCUUGCUGCAGCAAAGAAACAAAAGACUACUACAAUUUUACUUUACAUAGACGUGCCCAGCCUUUCUCUUCCCUCCUUCCUUGAAAUCCCAGCUGCCAUGGAAAUCCUGCUCUCCAACACCACUGAAACUCUCAGAAGCCUUUUACUUCUAACUGUAUAAUGCUACAAUGUGUGGAUGAAAAAGCCCUCUAUAAAUGCAAUUUAGCUUCCUGGCUUGUAAAUGUAAGGAAAAUACACUGCAGGCACCUGACUGAAGAACAUCUGCUGAAACCCUCUGAGCCUAGAAUGACCACUCAUUCAUGGCACUAGCAAUAUAAAAAAAAAUUUUAAAAAAGACACUGAGAAGAAAUUAAAGCAUUUAAAGGCUCAAACUCCGGAAAUAGCAGAAACUACUGGAAAAGAAGGCAAGAACACUUCAGUGUACAUCUGGAAACAAUGCCAGGAGUCUGAACCAUGAAGAAACUGCAUGUUGCUGCCUUGGAUGACUGUUUUCUGUAGAAUAAAAAAACUUGCAGUGAAAGAUGAUGUGUGCAGAAGAAAUAAUAAACAUAAGAGCAAAUGGGACAUAUUACCUUUGUUAGGCAUAUAUGCACAGCUCCUAGUAUUUCUAGGAACUGUGCUCUAACUCUGAGAUAAAAACAGCAAGUUGUAGAAAUAUAAAGAGGUAAAAAUACAGGUUUAUGAAACUGAUUUUUUUUUCUAUUUAAAAAUGUGCUUCUAGAAAUUAAAAAAAAAAAAACAGGAAAACCAUCUUGGACUGUUUUCCUAUUUUUGGAUGGUACUACUAAAGAUAUUACAGCAGAAGAGCUGAUUAUGCAUUAAGAACUUUUUUAGCUAGACUUCUUUAACCAAUACAGUAAUAUGUGAGAGAGGGACACAAUUUACAGGACAUACAUUUGAGCAGAAUACAGUGAAGCCUAGAUUUAGAUGUGGGACUACUAGUUCCUCAUCAUUCCUUACUUAUUGGGUGCAGAGUAUGUAAGAAAGCUUGCUAAACUGUUUGAACUUUCCUAGCUAGAAUUAAAAUGACCUUCAGGUAACCUAGCAUAUUUCACUUCCAAAGUGAGUGAGGCUAAACUGAAUUAAGGUCAUUUUUAAUUCUGAGGAAAAAGAGAUACUGAGGCAUUUAAUAUAGCUUAGUGUACUUUAAAUUAACAGUUGUAAUUAACUUGGAGAUCUCUGUAGAAAAGACCUAAAAAGAUAAAUUAAAAACACCACUGUUUUUGUUUUUUGUUUUUAAUCAUCUUAAUUCUGUAGAAGGUGAUUCAGAGUCUUAAUAUAAAGUAAGAACAAACAGUAUAAUAUUGAUCACCUCUCAGUUAUGGUGAACUUACCAUAAUUGGAAGCUAUCCUGAAAGUGGCUUACUAUAUAGUUUUUUAAACAGCUAUGCAUUUUUUAAUAACUGACUACACAAGUAGUAUUUCUAUUCAAAUCUGUGGGAGUAAACUAGAAUCAAAUAUCAGACAAGUAUACCAUCAACUCUGACUUAGGUUUCAUUCCUGCUAUAGUUCAUGUGCAGCAGUACAAAUAUGUUGCUAAACUACUAAAAAUACAACAACAACAAAAAAAAAAAAAAGUGAUUUUUUUUUUGUUUGCUUUCCUCUAUUUAAUAUGUACAAAAUCAACUUAUAUGGAAUAAUCUGCAGAACAAUUAUAAGCAACUGAAAAAAGUGCUGCUUGGCUGAUAGCAAGAGACUACACCCACUGCCAAAUGAUCAUAGGAGAUAAAGGCCAAAAACUGAGCAGCUGGACUUGCCCAUUAAGGCAGUCUGUAGCUUAUCUCUGAAAAAAACAUGUCACUUCUGCAGGACAUUGACCUCAACAAAACACCUGUUACCUCCUGUGGUGAAUUAAUAUGUGGCCACUAUCCAUAGAAAAUUUGAUCAAAUGCUCUCUUGUAGGGGGUAAUACUGACAGCAAAAACAUAGAACCUGUUUUGUUAAAUUAGGUCUAAAACAUCAGGAAAAAACCCCACCUUGCAGCUUUAUGGCUCUUCAGAGUCUUGUGGUGAACUGUAGUUAAAAAUCAAUAAGGGAAUAUAUAAACUCUUUUCUUCUAGGUUUACAUGGGGUUUUUUGACCAGUGGCUAUCUUGGGAAAUAUUUGGAAAACAUCUAAUGCCAAGAAAAAAAAAAUGUGGCAGUGGCUGCUAGUGUAAAUUUCCUUUGGAGCUUUUUGCUUUAAGUCUACCUAGUCACACUGAAGGGAACCCAAGUUGCCCUUAGUUAAGACUUCUUCCAAACUAAAAUGUCCCUCAAAAUUGUAACAUCCAUGGUGUGCCAAACACCUCCUUGAGGCUCCAGAUUCCUUUUGGAUUCACAGUUGAAGAGCAUCAAAGAACAUUUUUCAGGACAUCUGGCAGAGCAAGUUUUCGGCCAAGUUGCUUUGGUUUCAUAGUGGAUUCAGGGGCUGGCAGUCUCAGAUAUUGUAGAAACAUGAUGUAAGUCCUUUCACUUCUCUCUGAGUGGGUGGGUCCUCAACUGGAAUGAAUUUGGCAUCAGUGGAUUAAGCCUUCCCUGCAGAAGGAUGUAGUUUAUUGCUGUCUGUAUAGCUAGUACAGGGAGCAAGGGAAAUUGCUGUGUUCCUGCUUUCAUCCUUUCCCUUAGCACAUCUACAUGACAUAAUUGAUAUAUUCUUGGCAGGUCUGAAAUUAUGCUGCAGUGAUGAAUAUUCCUGUUUCUGGGUCAGAAGCUGUAAAAUUUGGAAAAUAUCUUCCAUAGCCACAAAGAAAUGCAUAUGCUUCUUGGCACGUUAGCAACCUGCUAGAAAAGCAUCCCACACUGGCAGAACAGGGGUUAGCUGAGAGCAGAAAAUGUGCCAGUAGCCUGGAACAACCCGAAGGGAAAACAAGGAGUUAAAUGCCAAAUAUAUCAUUCUGUUUAGGAGAGAGAAGGAGGCUGCCAGGGGUAUUCAAAGAUGCAGGAAUGUGGGAUUUUGGGAAGAGCAGUCUAAUUUGGUAUUCAAAGCCAGCAGUUUACAGGCACUGCUGCAAUGGUAAGGCAGGCUGGCCACAGAAGGAGAACCCCAGCUGAGGCAGGUACAUAGUCAAAACUCAAGCAGAGCCUGCACCCUCAGGCUAGGGAUGAUCAGUAUGGGUGGGCUGGACCAUCAAUCUGUGCAUGCCAACCCCUUGCAAUGCAGGCACACCUCAAAUUCGAGAGAAGAAAAUGAAGAUGCAUAAUGAUUUAAAUUUAGUGACUUGUUUCAAAUGUGUAUUGAAAACAACUGCUGGAGUUGCUACAGAAAUGCCACUAUCUCAUCUAGAAUUCAGAAUGAUUAUGGAAUGAAAGGAUAUGUGGCUCCAGAAGUAAUUACCAUAUGAACAGGUGAUUUCUGUAAAGACACCUGAGAGUCUUUAAUCCAGAAGAAAUGGUCUUUUUUGUCCUGAAAUGACCCUCUCAUUUUUAGUUCUAAGUCUAUAUAGGGUACAAUAUGUGAGUUUCAUGAGAGAACUACACAUCUGAUACAGAGCUUUAGGCUUUAUCAGAGUGAAGGAUUAGUCUUGCUAGGAUAUUUCUAACUGAUAGUUCCCAAGAAAUACGUUAAAAAUUGUAUGAAAACCUGCUGAGAGUCAUUGAAACAUCAUCAAAUCCAUACUGCUAAAACUGCUGAGUUGACUUUCUUAGAGCAUACUUUUUUAAAUCUCAUAUAGAUCAGCAAAACAAAUGAAAUUUUAAAUUUGAGAUUGGGCCUUUAGUGAAAUAUAUUAACAUACACAAACAGAACAUUUUCAUAUUUGCAUUACUUUAUUUUUCAACCAAUGUGUUGAAAGAAGGCAAACUACUUGUAAAUAAGGAGUGAUAUAAGGCAUUUCAGCAUAAAAGGAUUUUAUAUAAAAAAAUUAAGGAAAGUGAAGAUUAUGGCUGGAAUAAGAAUUGACAGUCUGAAUGCUAAGUGAUUGUAUACACAUAAUAUCUAUAAUCAUCGGUAUGUUUUGCAAUUAAACAACGACUAUUAACUUGUUAAUACAGCAUAAGAUGUGUGAGUAGUGUGAAUGUGAAUACAAAUGUCCAUCCCUAACUCCUUAUUUCUG